rnacentral:rRNA from 1 species
AUACAUAGGGGGCAAGCGUUAUCCGGAAUUAUUGGGCGUAAAGGGUGCGUAGGCGGUCUAUUAAGUCUGAGGUGUAAGUGCAGGGCUCAACCCUGUGAUGCUUUAGAAACUGGUAGACUUGAGUGAGAUAGAGGCAAGUGGAAUUCCAUGUGUAGCGGUAAAAUGCGUAAAUAUAUGGAGGAACACCAGUGGCGAAGGCGGCUUGCAGGGUCUAUACUGACGCUGAGGCACGAAAGCGUGGGGAGCAAACAGGAUUAGAUACCCUGAUAGUCCACGCCGUAAACGAUGAGUACUAAGUGUUGCGAGAACGCAGUGCUGAAGCUAACAUAUUAAGUACUCCGCCUGAGUAGUACGUACGCAAGUAUGAAACUCAAAGGAAUUGACGGGG